GCGCUUGCGCCCGCCGUAGUCCCGCCCCCAAAUCCCGUGGGCCUCUGCGAGAUGGUAUUUAUGUGUUUCGCGGUAGGCCUUCGGUCUCAUUUAGCCACAGCUCUCGGGUUCGGACGCGCGCCGAACGCUGAAGGAUCGCAAACCGGUCUCAUUGGAAUGUGGUUUAAUUCAAAGGAGCUUACAGAUUGGAGGAUGAGUCAAGACUUACUCCUGUGUGGAUCAAGUGUGGUGAUGCUGCAGUAUCUCCUCACCAGUCUUGAGGAAUUCAACUGCCUCCCAGGCUGAAUGCAGAUUGUCACAGCAUUAAUAGAGUCAUCUGUCUUACAGUGCCUCUUGAUCUGCUCAGGAUGACUUCUACAAAGAGUCAAGAGGAGCAGCUUGUUGCUAUACACUCCUGGAAAGCCUCCAGAGUUAAAAGGUACCAUUGCCAGUUACCGUUGCUCAGAGGUACAGCUCCUUGUCUGGUGCCUGAGAAUGAUUUUAGGGGAAAGGAGUAAGCCAUAUAUCUGCUCCACUGUAGUCUGAAGUUGAGAGUCCCAGAGCCUGUAAAGGUGAACCCACUGGGGCUGGCUGGGGGAGAAGAGGAAAGCUUGUUCCAGAGGGAACUGUCUGAGGGAUCAUGAGAGUUCCUAAACAAGGCAAAGGGGGAAUAAAUGACUGAUUGAAAGGCAGAUAUUUUUUUUUCCCCCUAGAUCUGAAGAAAGAACAAAGCACAGAUAAUGGAAUCCAAUGUGGAAGAUGUCAAAACUGAAAAAUCCUUGUACAGAUUGCCUGUUCAAAUUAGCAUACAAUCAUUUCAGCCUUUCUAAAUAAAAAUUUUUUUAAACCUUCA